UAGGGAACCUCUUCCACAAUGGGCGAAAGCCUGAUGGAGCAACGCCGCGUGUGUGAUGAAGGGUUUCGGCUCGUAAAACACUGUUGUAAGAGAAGAAUGACAUUGAGAGUAACUGUUCAAUGUGUGACGGUAUCUUACCAGAAAGGAACGGCUAAAUACGUGCUAG
rnacentral:rRNA from 1 species